UGAACGCUGGCGGCAGGCCUAACACAUGCAAGUCGAGCGGCAGCGGAAGGAAGCUUGCUUCCUUGCCGGCGAGCGGCGGACGGGUGAGUAAUGUCUGGGGAUCUGCCCGAUGGAGGGGGAUAACUACUGGAAACGGUAGCUAAUACCGCAUAACGUCGCAAGACCAAAGUGGGGGACCUUCGGGCCUCACACCAUCGGAUGAACCCAGAUGGGAUUAGCUAGUAGGCGGGGUAAAGGCCCACCUAGGCGACGAUCUCUAGCUGGUCUGAGAGGAUGACCAGCCACACUGGAACUGAGACACGGUCCAGACUCCUACGGGAGGCAGCAGUGGGGAAUAUUGCACAAUGGGGGAAACCCUGAUGCAGCCAUGCCGCGUGUAUGAAGAAGGCCUUCGGGUUGUAAAGUACUUUCAGCGGGGAGGAAGGCAGUGAACUUAAUACGUUCGCUGAUUGACGUUACCCGCAGAAGAAGCACCGGCUAACUCCGUGCCAGCAGCCGCGGUAAUACGGAGGGUGCAAGCGUUAAUCGGAAU
rnacentral:rRNA from 1 species